CCUACGGGAGGCAGCAGUGAGGAAUAUUGGUCAAUGGGCGGAAGCCUGAACCAGCCAAGUAGCGUGCAGGAUGACGGCCCUACGGGUUGUAAACUGCUUUUGUACGAGGGUAAACGCAGAUACGUGUAUCUUUCUGAAAUUAUCCUACGAAUAAGGAUCGGCUAACUCCGUGCCAGCAGCCUCGGUAAUACGGAGGAUUCAAGCGUUAUCCGGAUUUAUUGGGUUUAAAGGGUGCGUAGGCGGUCGGAUAAGUUAGAGGUGAAAUCCCGGGGCUCAACUCCCGAAUUGCCUCUGAUACUGUUCGGGUAGAGAGUAGUUGCGGUAGGCGGAAUGUAUGGUGUAGCGGUGAAAUGCUUAGAGAUCAUACAGAACACCGAUUGCGAAGGCAGCUUACCAAGCUACUUCUGACGUUGAGGCACGAAAGCGUGGGGAGCAAACAGGAUUAGAUACCCGUGUAGUC
rnacentral:rRNA from 1 species